UACGGAGGGUGCAAGCGUUGUCCGGAUUUAUUGGGUUUAAAGGGUGCGUAGGCGGCCCGGUAAGUCAGUGGUGAAAGCCUCCAGCUCAACUGGAGAACUGCCAUUGAUACUGCCGGGCUUGAGUACAGACGAGGUUGGCGGAAUUGAUUGUGUAGCGGUGAAAUGCAUAGAUACAAUCAAGAACUCCGAUUGCGUAGGCAGCUAACUAGGCUGUAACUGACGCUGAGGCACGAAAGCGUGGGGGAGCGAACAGG
rnacentral:rRNA from 1 species